GAUGAACGCUGGCGGCGUGCCCAAUACAUGCAAGUCGAGCGAACAGACGAGGAGCUUGCUCCUCUGACGUUAGCGGCGGACGGGUGAGUAACACGUGGAUAACCUACCUAUAAGACUGGGAUAACUUCGGGAAACCGGAGCUAAUACCGGAUAAUAUAUUGAACCGCAUGGUUCAAUUGUGAAAGACGGUUUUGCUGUCACUUAUAGAUGGAUCCGCGCCGCAUUAGCUAGUUGGUAAGGUAACGGCUUACCAAGGCAACGAUGCGUAGCCGACCUGAGAGGGUGAUCGGCCACACUGGAACUGAGACUCGGUCCAGACUCCUACGGGAGGCAGCAGUAGGGAAUCUUCCGCAAUGGGCGAAAGCCUGACGGAGCAACGCCGCGUGAGUGAUGAAGGUCUUCGGAUCGUAAAACUCUGUUAUUAGGGAAGAACAAAUGUGUAAGUAACUAUGCACGUCUUGACGGUACCUAAUCAGAAAGCCACGGCUAACUACGUG
rnacentral:rRNA from 1 species